GGGGUAUUUGCUUCAGUCCCAUAUACUAAAUUGGAACCACACAGACAAGAUUAGCAUAGCCCCUGUGCAAGGAUGAUAUGCAAAUAAAUUCAUGAAACAUUCUAUCUU